GUUAGGACGAGGUCCUCCUCUUGUCUCUAACGCAGCUGUGGGGGCACAUAUGGGCAUUGCAGGGCCUUUCCCCCAUCUGGUCUAAGUGUAAUCGGGCCUUUGACUUUGCCCAUGUUAGAACGAGGUUCUCCUCCUAUUCCUAACAUGGCUGUGGGGGCACAUAUGGGCGUUGCAGGGCCUCUCCCCCCAUCCGGUCUGAAUGUAAUCGAGCCUUCGACUUUGCUCAAGUUAGGGCGAGGUUCUCCUCCUGUCCCUAACAGGGCUGUGGGGGCACAUAUAGGCGUUGUAGGGCCUCUCCCCCCAUCCGGUCUAAAAGAACCGGGCCUUCGACUUUAUGAGGUUGCCCUUUUGCUUUUGAUACAGUUUGUUUGAAUUAUCCAAAGACAUAUGGGUAUGCGAUUUUUGAUUAAAACGAAGCUACUGAUAGUACAUCCAUAAGUUUUCUGAGCUCCACGGUCGCGGGAGGUCGGCUCCUCCGAGCUCCUUAAGAUAAUAAGUUCCGGGCCGGACUACUUCUUUGACCUCAUAAGGUCCCUCCCAGUUUGGGGCGAGUUUUCCCCUGUCCUGAGGUUGCGAGACAGCAGCUCAUCGAAGCACUAGAUUUCCUACUUUAAAGACUUUGUUCUUGACCCGGGCGUUGUAAUAUCGAGCGACUUUCUGUCUGUAGGCUGCCAUUCGGACCUGAGCGAUCUCCCGUCUUUCUUCCAGUAGGUCGAGGUUGGCUCUAAGACUUUGUGAAUUUUGGUGUUCGUCGAAUGCCACGACUCACGCCGACGGGAGUUUAAGCUCGAUCGGGAUGACGGCUUCCGUUCCGAAGGCUAAAGCAAAGGGGGUCUCCCCCGUAGGCAACCUUUAGGUAGUUCGAUACGCCCAUAGCACAUGAUAAAGCUCGUCCGCCCAAGUUCCUUUUGCUUUUUCAAGCCUUGUCUUAAUCCCCUGCAAAAGGGUUCUGUUAGUC
rnacentral:lncRNA from 1 species